rnacentral:rRNA from 1 species
AUUGAACGCUGGCGGCAGGCCUAACACAUGCAAGUCGAGCGAGCGGCGGACGUGGGAGGAAUCUGUGGGGUUAUGCCUGAUGGCGGGGGAUAACGACUGGAAAUGGUAGCUAAUACCGCAUACUCUCAGCUGAACCCAUAUGGGAUUGGCUAGUUGGUGAGGUAACGGCUUACCUAGGCGGCGAUCCCUAGCGGGUCUGAAAGGAUGAUCAGGCACACGGGGACUGAGACACGGCCCAGACUCCUACGGGGGGCAGCAGUGGGGAAUAUUGCACAAUGGGCGCAAGCCUGAUGCAGCCAUGCGGCGUGUAUGAAGAAGGCCUUCGGGUUGUAAAGUACUGUCAGUCGGGAGGCGUUACCGGCAGAAGAAGCACCGGCUAACUCCGUGCCAGCAGCCGCGGUAAUAC